rnacentral:misc_RNA from 1 species
UAUAUGUUCUCAAAAUCAUUCACAAUUCUCACACCACUGACAAUGCCACUGACUUAUCAAAAUCCGUACUCCGCAAACCCCUAAUUCUCCCUCUGCUCUUACUCUGUUGCUUCUUCUUCGUCAACCCCCACGACGCCGUUUGCGGCGGCGGAACCUCCUUGUCUUUACCCGCGCUGCCCUGUAUCAAAAUCCUCAUAAUCCUCGAGUACUGCAUCGACUGGGCAAUUUGCAUUGCACUCAACCCUUUGUUCGUCACCACUUCGACGUCGGCGCCUCUCUCGACCAGCAACUGGACUGCUUCGUCGUGAGCGGCCUCGACGGCGCAGUGUAGUGCAGUGUAACCGUCGUCAUCUUUAGCAUCGAUAUCGAUACCGAUGUCGAUCAGGGUUCUGGCGGCGUCGGUUUGGCCUUUGAAGGCGGCUCUGUGGAGCGCCGUCCAACCAUUUUGGUCUCGACUGUUGAUAGCGGCGCCGCUGUCGAGGAGGAGUUGGAUUGAGCGGACGUCGCCCUUGCGUGCGGCGGUGGCGAGCUUGUCGGCGAGGCGGAGGACGUCGAAGAGGCGGGUGUGGGAGUGGUCGAAAGCGACGUCGUAUGGCCGCUUUCCGGCCCAGUUUCGGAUGUCUUUGUUGGCUCCCUUUUGAAUUAAAAGCUUCACGAUUUGCUCGUCGCCGAUUCUGGCCGCCAUGUGCAGCGCCGUAUCUCCUUGUUCAGCAUUGCGAACAUCCGGUUUGGCGCCGUUAGCGAGAAGCAGCCGAGCACAGUCGCGGCGGCGCUCUUGAACAGCAAGAUGAAGUGCCGUAUCGCCAUCCUUAGACAGAGCAUCGACACAAGCUCCUUUCACUAAAAGCAGCCUCAAAACUUCCACAUGCCCUCCCGCUGCCGCCAAAUGAACCGCCCCAAACACAGACCCUUCCCCCCGCUCUGUACUCGCCUUCCUCGCCAACAACAGCUCCACAAUCAACGCCUGCCCAGCCCCCGCCGCCGUCUCCAGCGCCGUCAUCCCACACUGCCCCACUGCCCCCACAUCCGGAUUAAACUCCAACAACAACUGCACCAAAUCCGCCCUCCCCUGCCCAAUCGCCAAGUGAAGCAGAGUCCUCCCCUGUUCAUCCACAGAGUCCACCGCCCUCCAGCUCGGAUCGCUCCUCUCCAACACCUCUCUAAUCUGAUCCAUGGCCCCAUCCGCCACCAGUCUCGCCACCACAGCCGACCCCACAAACAUAACUUUAAUCCCACUAUCGAUGAAGACCUGUUUCUUUCUAGUGGUGAACCAGUCGGAAGGAACAGAGUCGAAGCUGGAGGAAGAGUCUCUGAUAGCGGCUCCGGGGACGACGACGCUGUGGAGGAGGAAAGAGUCAUCGGAAUAAGGGAAGGAAUCGGGGAGAUUGAAGCCUGGUGGAAGAUGGUAAAGGAUUUCGACUGUUAAAGUAGCGAGUGGAGGAAUGAUUCCAGAUUGGGGCUUAAAGGUGUAACGGGCUUUGAUGAGAGGCUGCAGCCGGAAGGCGACGGGCAUGGUGUACAUGACGUUCCGGAGGGUAAGCUCGCCGGAGCAUUUUUGGCCCGGUUCGAUUCUGAUUGGGAUGAGGCUAGAGGGCUCGACGGUGAUGAGACGAUCCAUUUUUG